UACGUAGGGUGCGAGCGUUAAUCGGAAUUACUGGGCGUAAAGCGCGCGUAGGCGGCUUUUCAAGCCGAUUGUGAAAAUCCCCGGGCUUAACCUGGGAACUGCAGUCGGGACUGUCUAGCUAGAGUAUGGGAGAGGGAAGUGGAAUUUCAGGUGUAGCGGUGAAAUGCGUAGAUAUCUGAAGGAACAUCAGUGGCGAAAGCGACUUCCUGGACCAAUACUGACGCUCAUGUGCGAAAGCGUGGGAGCAAACAGG
rnacentral:rRNA from 1 species